UCGUGGCUGACGUCAUGCCCCAUCCAUCGGUGGAGAGAAGGCCAAAAAAGCAGCCUCAGAGUCCAAGAGCUAGCUCAAACCAGCUCUGAGGUUAGUCACUGCAUUUCUUUCUUUACUUGGAAAGAAAGAGGUAACCUUGUGGCUGAUUGAUUGUAGACAAAUUCAUGCUCUUGCUUACAAGUUGAAUGCUUUUGAAGUGCAUGAAUGGUUGAGUAGGAAACAAGCUUUUACUCCAAGGAUUAUUAUGAGCUUUUAGACACUAUAUAUAUAUGCCCAGAAGCUGUUCUACGAAAUGCCUACGAGAAUUGUACUAGGGUGGUCUUGGUCUUGGUUUAAAAUUUUUGUCACUACUUUUACGUUUUAUGUCUUGGUUAUUGUUUUGGUUGUCAUCUUUGCGAUUCUUGGCAUAGCUUAUGGUUUCCUGGCUGCUACUAUGGCUAUUCAAAGAAUGUCCUGACCAAGAGCAAACUCACCAAGGAGUACAUAUAUAGUGGAGAUCCUGGAGGAUCUUCAUGGUUGUUAUACCCCACCAAAGAACGUGAAGAGCGUCUGAAAAUCCCCAAGUUAUUGUAUUGAAAGAUGACGCGUUUCAUAUUGUCUAGGCUUUCCUGUUUUGACCAAAUCCCUCAUCUCUGUUUUUACCUGUCCUUUAAUUUGAUUCUCCAAGUGGAAUCGUACUGUGAUGGGAGUUUUAUCUUGAACCUGCCUCUUAUUUAGUAAGUUGAUUAAGCAAUCUUUGUGCACUUUUCUGAUCGAUGAUUCUGUUUGGCUCCAAAAAAACAGAUUCGUCAAUGUAAUUCUCGUAUGUCUUAGGUCUGGGUUAGGAGAUUGAAAACAAAAUGAUUAUGAAUCAUCGAUGGAAGACUGGUAUCGUUUCACAGAUGAUACACAAUCUUAUUAUGGUGUUGAUAUGGGUGCUCUAACAAAACCUUUCGCUGAAUAGCAGAAGAAAUACUAUAUUCGAUCAGACAUCAUUGUGGAACAACCUUUAUCCCAACCAAGUUAUUGGGACAGCUGCCAUACUAAGAGAGAUUGAUUGUUCAGUUGUCAGUGACAUCCUCGAAGUGAGAUCAAACUUUUUAUCUACAAUAACUCUUCCAAACACAAGGCUCUGUGGGUUCGCAGGAUGGUUGAUCACUUUUUUAUGUUCAUUUUCGACCCAGAAUGAAAUUGAGUUGACCACUGCUCCCGGUGUAGAUAAUGGCACACACUGAGGCCAACAGGUUUUCCUCUUGAACCCUCCAAUCCGUGUCACUGAAGGGGAUAAUCUGAAUGGUUCUUUCUCAAUGAAGUGCAACAAGGAAAAUCAUUUGAUGGAGGUUGAGUUUAGCAGUGAGAUUAAACAGUAUUCUGGACAGCUACUCCCACCUUUUAGAAAUUGAUAUUUCAUAGAGUGACUGGAGGCAAGGAUCGUCCCCACCAACAUAUAUAUUUCUGGAAGUCUGGAUUGUCCGAAGGAAUCAAACCUACAAGCCAUCUGUAAAAGUUUUGUGAGAGUUUUCCAGGCUUUGCCGCCAUUCUGCUAAACUCGGAUCUUCGUGUGUUUUUAAUUUUGUUAUUUUUUAUUUAAGUUAUGUCAACUUCCUAAGAAUUGUCUUUACAGUGACCUCUUCUCCUUACUGUAGCUUUGCAAUGCCAUAUUAGCGUUUAAACUUUCAAUAUUUUUUGUCUUUUGUUUUCUUAUCAAAUGUUUAUACAAUGGAAAAUGUAUCUGUACACUCAAAUCAAUACUGUACCUGUCUGCUUCAGUUAACUGUACCUGUAUAUUAAUAUACAA